rnacentral:rRNA from 1 species
GUGAGGAAUAUUGCGCAAUGGAGGCAACUCUGACGCAGCCAUGCCGCGUGAAUGAUGAAGGUCUUAGGAUUGUAAAAUUCUUUCACCGGGGACGAUAAUGACGGUACCCGGAGAAGAAGCCCCGGCUAACUUCGUGCCAGCAGCCGCGGUAAUACGAAGGGGGCUAGCGUUGCUCGGAAUUACUGGGCGUAAAGGGAGCGUAGGCGGAUAGUUUAGUCAGAGGUGAAAGCCCAGGGCUCAACCUUGGAAUUGCCUUUGAUACUGGCUAUCUUGAGUAUGGAAGAGGUAUGUGGAACUCCGAGUGUAGAGGUGAAAUUCGUAGAUAUUCGGAAGAACACCAGUGGCGAAGGCGACAUACUGGUCCAUUACUGACGCUGAGGCUCGAAAGCGUGGGGAGCAAACAGGAUUAGAAACCCUGGUAGUCC